rnacentral:rRNA from 1 species
GACGAACGCUGGCGGCGUGCUUAACACAUGCAAGUCGAACGGAAAGGCCCUGCUUUUGUGGGGUGCUCGAGUGGCGAACGGGUGAGUAACACGUGAGUAACCUGCCCUUGACUUUGGGAUAACUUCAGGAAACUGGGGCUAAUACCGGAUAGGAGCUCCUGCUGCAUGGUGGGGGUUGGAAAGUUUCGGCGGUUGGGGAUGGGCUCGCGGCUUAUCAGCUUGUUGGUGGGGUAGUGGCUUACCAAGGCUUUGACGGGCAGCCGGCCUGAGAGGGUGACCGGCCACAUUGGGACUGAGAUACGGCCCAGACUCCUACGGGAGGCAGCAGUGGGGAAUAUUGCACAAUGGGCGGAAGCCUGAUGCAGCAACGCCGCGUGCGGGAUGACGGCCUUCGGGUUGUAAACCGCUUUCGCCUGUGACGAAGCGUGAGUGACGGUAAUGGGUAAAGAAGCACCGGCUAACUACGUG